rnacentral:rRNA from 1 species
AGAGUUUGAUCAUGGCUCAGAGCGAACGCUGGCGGCAGGCCUAAUACAUGCAAGUCGAGCGCACCUUCGGGUGAGCGGCGGACGGGUGAGUAACGCGUGGGAAUAUGCCCUUUGGUACGGAACAACUGAGGGAAACUUCAGCUAAUACCGUAUGUGCCCUACGGGGGAAAGAUUUAUCGCCAUUGGAGUAGCCCGCGUUGGAUUAGCUAGUUGGUAGGGUAAAGGCCUACCAAGGCUACGAUCCAUAGCUGGUCUGAGAGGAUGAUCAGCCACACUGGGACUGAGACACGGCCCAGACUCCUACGGGAGGCAGCAGUAGGGAAUCUUGCGCAAUGGGCGAAAGCCUGACGCAGCCAUGCCGCGUGAAUGAUGAAGGUCUUAGGAUUGUAAAAUUCUUUCACCGGGGAAGAUAAUGACGGUACCCGGAGAAGAAGCCCCGGCUAACUUCGUGCCAGCAGCCGCGGUAAUACGAAGGGGGCUAGCGUUGCUCGGAAUUACUGGGCGUAAAGGGCGCGUAGGCGGACAGCUUAGUCAGAGGUGAAAGCCCAGGGCUCAACCUUGGAAUAGCCUUUGAUACUGGCUGUCUUGAGUUCGGGAGAGGUGAGUGGAAUGCCGAGUGUAGAGGUGAAAUUCGUAGAUAUUCGGCGGAACACCAGUGGCGAAGGCGACUCACUGGCCCGAUACUGACGCUGAGGCGCGAAAGCGUGGGGAGCAAACAGGAUUAGAUACCCUAGUAGUCC